AGGCCUUACUGUCCAAAAAAUAACUCUGCCAAAGAGUAAUUUCCGGACAGCCAAGCUCAUCCAGUCGUUGCACCACUCGAUCCCAGCUUAGGUAACACUAGCCGACAAUUUUGACAUUUUUUUUCUGCUCUGAAACCAAACUUGUUUUUUUAUGUUGCUUUGAUAAGGUACAUAUAUAAUUUGAAUAUAAAAAAAAUUGCUAGGUCCAGGUUAAGAGAAAAAUAAAAGAAAAGUUUUUGCAAAAAAUAUAUUGAAUAUUACAAAUUUUUAUCUCUCAAUUUAUAUUUUCUUGUACUUUUUUGAACUUCUGCUGUAUUGGUAGUCAGGAUUAUUACGUAAACAUAUCCAGCAAUAGUCUGCCAGCAUGCUAGGAGUCCAUUUGCCUUGAUACCUUUUCUCCAUACUCAAUAUGUCUUGGUGAAAUCUCUCCCCAUGUUCAUCACUGACUGCACCUAAAUUGGGGGGAAAGAAAUCCAAGUGCGAAUGUAGGAAAUGUAUUUUCAGGGACAAGUUACACCCUAAAGCCUGAAAAUUCGUCAAUAGGCUUGAUAUGAGUUCUUCAUAAUCGGGUGAUUUGGUGUUACCCAAAAAAUUUUUUACAACCUCAACAAAUGAAAGCCAUGCUUUUUUUUCUAGCGUAUUUAGUUUAGAGACAAAGUUUUGAUCCUUCAUAACUCGUUGUAUGUCUGGCUCCACAAAAAACCCUUCUUUUAAUUUCACAUCACUAAGUCUCGGAAAUAUACUUUUAAGGUAUUGAAAACCUUCUCCCGUUUUAUCCAUUGCUUUUACAAAAUUUUUCAUUAAGCCUAAUUUUAUAUGAAGGGGUGGCAAUACAAUAUUCUCGGGUUCAACAAGACGAAGAUUGGACACACUUUUCUGAUUAGGUACAUAGUCUGUUCCUUUGGCCACUCUUUUUGGAUAUAGUGUUUGCUUCGAGCUCUGCUAUCCCAUUCGCACAUAAAACAGCAAAAUUUUGGGUAACCAGCUUGCAUACCUAGUAACAUCCCAACUACUUUUAAAUCAGAACAAAUUUUCCAAGAAUGUUUAGCAUACUGUAUUUUUUGUUUUGUUUUUUUGAUAUUUUCAUAGGUUUCUUUGAUAUGUACUCCAUGCGCUAGAGGUACAGAUGGAAGUUCGUUACCAUCAUGUAACAAAACCGCCUUUAAACUUAUUUUCGAUGAAUCAAUAAAUAGUCUCCACUGAUCAGGUGAAUAGGUACAAAACAUUUUUUUCAUAAGCCCAUAUACAUCUUUGCAAUAGACUAGAUCGUUUUCCUUUUCAAAGAAAUCCACAACACUACUAUGUCGUUUCCGAUAAGUACAGAUUCUUGUCUCUGGAUGCAAUAAAUUCCAUUGUUUUAGUCUAGAAGCUAAAAGUUCUGAUUUCUCCUUUGGUAAAUCAAGGUCACGAAUCAGAUCAUUAAGUUCGCUUUGAGUUAUCAGAUGUGGCUCUGUUGUUGACCUUGUUGGUGGUCAUCGUCGUCAAAAUCGGUGUGGUCGGAAGCAUAAACAUCAACACUACUUUCGAAGCUGCUACAGCGGCAAGGGGUGACAAUCGGCGGCCAUUACUUUACUUAUGCCAUGGAAUUUCUAUUGCUACGAAUAUGGAAAUGACAAAUUUGAUAGAAAAGCCGCGCUGUGCCGAAAGAAACGAACAAACGAUCGCCGAUUGUCACCGCUUCGCUUGCUACUCGAACAAGGUUGCGUAGAUUCAUAUUGAGCAAGGUUGCGCAACCUGAAUCUAUCGCAACCUUUUCCGAACUCGUAUAAGAAGUAUAACUUCAAUAAUAUUAUCGUAAUUGGACCUAAGGAUUUUUUUUUAAUUAUUUUUCUAAUGAUAUACAUACUAACAGGAACCAAAAUAUAUAAUUUUUAUUUCAGAGCAAAAUCCAUUGUCGGCUAGUGUUAUUUAAAAAAAAUGGUCUUCAGGUUGGUACUUAUCCUGUAAAGAAAAAAUUUGAUAUUCGUUUGUUUUGCUGUGAUGCUCCCGCUCGAGCCUUUGUUACAGGUGUACAGUCGCACACUGGAAAAAGUAGUUCUAAAUGUGAUCAAGUGGGUGACUACAAAGAAAGGAGAGUUUGUUUUUCAAAACAAAUAAAACAUUUAAGAACUGACCAAUCUUUUAAAAAUAGAAGUGACAUAUCACAUCACAUUAAUCCUUUUAAAUUUAGAGAAAGCAUUUUAGAGUCAGGAAAUUUCAAAAUGGUCUCCCAAUUUCCUUUCGACCCAAUGCACCUUGUAGAUCUUGGUGUAUGUAAAAAGUUGCUUCAAUUGUUAAUUAAAAAAGGCAAUAUAAACGUAACGAAAGUUAACGAAAAAAUAACAUUUCUCUCCAAUUUAGUUCCUUCAGAGUUCGGCCGAAUAUGUAGAAGUUUAGAUGAAAUCAAUAUUUGGAAAGCGACAGAGUUUAGGCAGUUCUUAUUGUAUAUAUAUAGGUAUAUUUGUUCUAAAAGAUUGCGUUAGUGGUGACCAUUACUACCAUUUCCUCUUAUUGCACGCAGGUAUAAGGCUGCUAUCAUUCAAGAAGUCAUAUAGCACUGAAGCCAACGUUGCCCAACAAAUCUUUGGAAAAAUUCGUUGAUUUGUUUGGAAAUAUAUACGGAGACCAUUUAGUUAGUUACAACAUACAUGAUUUACUCCAUUUAACUGAACGUACUAAGCUAUAUGGGCCUCUAGAUAACUUUUCCGCUUAUAAGUCUGAAAAUCACAUUCAAUUAAAAAAAAAACUUAUAAAUAAGCCCAAUAAAAUCCUGCAGCAAUUACAUUUAAGGCUUGAAGAAGGAAAUAGUGCAGAUUUUAGUUGCAAUAAAAUUUCUAAAAUUAAUUAAUUUAAUAUAGAUUAUAAAAAAGAAAAAAACUCUUAUUGUUUUAGUCAAAAAUUAGGCCCCAUAGAAGUAAUAGGCAUGACAGACGAGUCUGGUAGUGCUAUAGUAUCGGCGCAUUGUUUCUUGGGUGUUGAAAGCUACUUUCAAGAACCAUUGGAAUCGUCAACUGGUUUAGGUAUUUUGUUGGCAAAUAAAUUAGAUCCAAAAUUGUUUAAAAUCGAAAAAGAUGAUAUAGUUUAUAAAUACUUUUCUAUUCCACAUGAGGGCAAGUUUCUUCUUAUACCAAUUUUACAUCAUCCAUUUCAUGAGUUUUCAAAUUAGUACUAUUUAAAGUAAUUGUGGUAUUUUCCGAAUGUAUUUUAUUUCAUGAUAUGAAUUAUUUAAAAGAAUUUUGAUACUGCCAUUUUUUUUAUUUUACGAACAGAUGGAUUCACCAGCGCUCUUUGAUGCAAUUGAUUUUGAAGAAUUCCCAACAACGUCUUCGACUCCUGUAGAAGAACAACUGACAUAAAAGCGAAGAAAUGGCCCAACAAAAAACUGUGCGCGAAUGUAAGGUUUUAAUUAGAAAAAUUCACCAUUCAGUAUGCCGACUGACUGCUGAAGAAAUAGAUAGUAUGCAAACCGAAGUUGCCUCCACGCUACCAAUAACAACGAUAGCUGCAGCAUUGGAAAUGGACGAGAAACUGAAAUGCGAGGAAUUUGCUACUGCAACUAGUAAUAAACAGUUUAUUUUAAAAACAAAGGGAAAUUCAGAUAAUUUACAUGAUGUGCUGAGACAUAUAUACACUGACGAAUUUUUGUUUUUGUGUAACUGGGACGGUAGAGGAGAGAAACAACCCCUAUCGAAAUUUCUACUGGCAUCUAACAUAUUAUAUGAUUCUUUCGUUACUUGUGGACUGGGGAAUUUCGAAAAACAAAUUCGGAAGUCCAUCGAAAUGAGCCACCAUAGGUACAAACAAAAGAAAUACAUGAAGCGAAAAGCUGUGGAGGAAUCGAACGAAUCCAAAUAGAUAAUAAUUAAAAAAAAAAUGUAGUCGGAUUUAAGAAUGUAUAAACAAAAAUGAAUUUUAAUAGUGUAACUAUAAUAGCUUUAAUAUGAAUGUUUAUUUUAAAAAUCUUCUAUAUCUUACUAUGUAAUUAAAUUUUUCUUAAAAAUAUUUAUAAAAAUGAAUUUAAAGUAAUCUAAUGUAAUUAGGAAAAUAUAAUAUUAUAGAUUAUUUUUAGUUUCUUAAACUCAAAAAAUUAUAAUAUAAAAACUAUUAAUGAAAUUAA